AACAAUUAUGAAAAUAUGUCAACUAUAAAUUUGAGGGUAAUUGUAGCAAAUUAAUUAUUAGAGAAAUGGCAUAAUUGCCUCCCCAGUUUUUCAAUUAAAUCAUGUUAAAAAGCUUUCAUAUCACACACGUAAUUACUUUCAAUUUUUCAACAUGUGUGGGCCCACUGUGUGUUGGGAAGUGGGUUCCUUUAAUGUGGUUAGUAACGUUUGUGAUGGAAAAAUUACGUUCUUUUUUGCUUUCCCAUUCUUUUCUACUUUCUUCAAUUUCUUUGCUUUUCCAUUUUCUUCCUCAAGAUAGUAAAACAAAUGAGAAAGAGAGGACUACACUGCAAUUUCUUCAUCCUGCGAUUGUAUUGGCUUUCUUCAUCUUCUUGUGAUUUCUAAUCGACAGGUAUAAUGGGUUGCUUUCUAGCUUUUUUCAAUUCGUCUCGUUGUGAUUUCCAAUGGGUUUUUUGCAUUUAAUUGUGAUUUCUUCAUCUUUUUAUGUGUACAGUUCUAAUUUUGAGUUCAUGAAAUUGAUAGGUUUUGUGUUAAUAUUAACAGAGAGAGGUAUAUAAUUUUAUGAUUUAAUUUAUGCUUUCUGUGAUUAAAAUUGUCUAUCUUGGUUAUUGUUUUUUUUUUCGAAUUUCAAAUGGAUUAUUGAGUUUAUAGUGCUAGAUUUUUUAGUUCUUUCUUGAUAAAUUGAUUUUAUCUUUUGCUUCUCUUUUAUGGUGAAUUUUCGGGAGGCUUAUAUGUUAAACAAAGAGGUAUAUAAUUUUCAAAUUUAAUUUAUGCAUUCUAUGAUUAAAAUUGUAUUAUUGUUAUUUUUUUUUUGAAUUUCAAAUGGAUUAUUGAGUUCACAGUGCUAGAUUUUUUAGUUCUUUCUUGAUAAAUUGAUUUUAUUUUUUACUUCUCUUUUAUGGUGGAUUUCACGAGGCUUAUAUGUUAGCAAGUUUUCUAAAGAGGAAUUUUUUAUUGGUUUGUGAUUUACAUUGAAUCUAUGUUUGAGGUUCAUGUAUUGAUUCUAAGCAGAUUUGAAUUUAGUACUAAAUUGCUGGAAUUUUUGUAGGUGCUUCUUAUCGUGUUUAUGAGUUAAUAUUUUGUUUUUCUUCGAUUUUCUAUCUUUAGUUCAAGUUUGGGCAAUCAGAUUUCCAUUCACUACAAAUCAAUUGCUAAUUUUCGCAAAAUAUUGUCAGACUAAACUGUGGUUUGGAACAUAUUAGAUUUUACCUAACCUAACUUUAUCUAUAGAAUGUGGAGAUAAAUAAGUUUCUUCUUAAUAUUAUUUUGGUUUAAAUCUCGAAAGCAUUAACGUUUUGGUAAGUCCAUGAAUUAAAAGAUCGACCAAUUAAUUGAUUUGCUAGGUUACCGGUGCUCCUUAGAAAUUUUUUUAUAUCUCUAUAUAUAAAUUUAUGGUGAAUUUUGACAUCAGUCAUCGAACUUUAUUUUGUUUCCUUUCUUAGAGAAGAAUUUAUUUAAUUGACCUAAAAUUUAUUGGGUAAGAUUUGAUUUGUUAUUAUAAAGAGAAGGCAAACUCAAAUUGCAUUUUGAAACUGUUUGUGGUUAUUACAUUUGUAUUACUAAUGUUGAAGGCUAUUAUACGUUUAGUCUCAAAAUUGUCGAGUUCGUAAUUUUCCUUUUAGGUUUCUUUGAAAAAAAAAACACUUAGUGAGAAUGUUAAAAGAAGAGCUUCAUUUAGAUGAUUUGAACUCAUACAGCAUGAUUGAGCUUCUGAUAAUAAAAUACCUCAUAUUUUUCAUGCUCACUUCUUUUAUCGUAAAAAUUGGCUUAAACUAAUGGCUAAAGUACACUAUUAAAAAUAAAAACUAAAAGAUAUAAAAUUUUAUGGUUAUUAAUAUUCGUGACAUCAAGUUCACUACAUUGUUAUGCAUGUUCUCUUGAUGUUCUUUUAUAAUAUUUUGCCACAUCAUUUGUCAAUUGGCAAGGCUUGUUCGAUAGUAAAGCAAAUUUUGAUGUUUUCAGAACUUCUCAUAUCUUUACAGCGGAAAGAACUUAAAAAUAUUGUUCCUUAGAAUUCUCCAAUUAAAUGGCAUACCUAUACUCUACAAAUUGCCCAAAUAUAUGAUGGGAUUUUGCUCGAAAUAAUCCUUCAAGCCAAAUUUUGGCUACGAGUAACUUGCUUCUUGUCUCCUCUACUAUUAAUAUAUUUCUAAGAUUUUCAAACUUUGUUCCUUUUCAGUAACUAGCUUCAUGUUUCCUCUAUUUUCUAUGCUUACAUAUUUUUAUUAGUUCAUUUAUUCAUCUGAACUAUGCAUGUGAACACUAUAACUAAAUUGGUUGCAAAUAAAAUUAAAUGCAAUUGCAAAUGUAGCGAUGAUGAAAUAAAUUGUAACAUAAUUUACUCCUCUAUUCUCUUCCUAUAUUUUUAAUCAUAUUUCAUAUUUUAUGAAUUCUCUCUUCAGCUAUCUAAAGUUUCUUUGGAAAAAAUUAUGUUUUCUUCUUCUAUUCAUUUUCUCAGGUAGCAGCUUGGAUUACAUUAUAUCUAAAAUCCAGUUUCUUCUCUUCUUGUUGGCAUGUAAUGUGCAAUGUUAUUUUUUAUUUCACUCUUACCUUUGGUCAAAAAUUAAGAAUCUUUCAAAUAUUUAUAAUUUGACUAAUUGUUUCCCAACAAAUUUUCUUCUAUGGAAUUUUGUUGUCUAUGUUGCUGUAUAUUUUACAAAAAAUGUACUCCAUAUUAUGUUGGUUCUAAAGAUUUAACCUAUUAUCGACAUUUAAUCAUAUUUUUCGUUGUCUUGGGUAUAGAUUCUUCUACUCUAAUAUUUAUAUUUAAACUAUGUAUGACAUAAUAUAUAUGGUAAUAGUUUUUCUUUUUUUCAUAAAGUUGCUAUUGCUUACUUUCAACUCCAACUAUUUGAUAAUUUUCUUCAUUUAUUGAUUGACAUAAUGGAACCAUGUGGUCAUUGAGAGUCCCAUUUGUAUAACGCUCAAACUCUUCUAAAAGUAUCAGUCACAUGAUGCAUUAAUUCGUCAACAACGAAAUCAAAGAUGAAGAGAUCGACGAUAUCAAGCUGAAACUUGAUUCAUUAAUUAUCAUAAAAAAGUAAUUCAGCCUAUGUUAUUUACAAAUAAUGAUUCUCAUGUUGUCCAUGUACAUGAACCUACAACAUACCAUCAUUCUAAGCCUUCUACUUUCAACAAUGAAGUAUUGAACAUUUGCAAUACUGAAUUACAAGAGAGUUCUAACCAAUUAAAUGUACCAUGUAUUGCAUAUGUAUUACCAACAUGCACAUAAUGUAAAGAUUAUGGUGCAAAAAGUUCUACAGAGAAAGUAAAGGUUUCUGUUGUUCUGAUGGAAAAGUUUAACUCUCUAUGUCUGAUCCGCUAAUUGAACUAUACAAUUUAUUUACUUUUAAAGAACCUACAUGUAUGGAAUUCAAAAAAAAAAAAAAUUGCCAGGGCAUUUUACAUUCACUUCAUUUGGGGUAAAGUAUGACAAAGAACUGUUUAAAUCAUACAGAGGUAUCUACACAUUUAGGAUUCAAGGUCAAGUAUAUCAUUACGUAAAUCCACUUAUGCCAGAAAAUAAUACGCCUUCUUAUAUGCAAUUAUAUUUUUAUGAUACAGAUAACAAAGUUGGGAAUCGUAUGAAAAUUUCAAAGAAUUUUGUUCAAUCUACUUUGAUUAGUUUAAUUGAAAUCCUCAAAAUAAAUCCGUAUAGUAUAUUCUUUAGGUCUUUAAGUAAUAUGACAAAUUUGCACGAUCAUCGAAUACAAACAAGAUGCGAUCUGGGACUUAAUCAAGGAGUUUUCAAUACUCCUACGAUGUCUCAAGUUGCUGCUGUAUGGGUCGAAGACGAUGAAAAUGGAAAUGUUCGUACUCGAGAUAUUAUUAUUUACAGUCAUUCCAAUAAUUCACAUAAGGUUCAUUAUUGUUAUGGUUGUUAUGAUCCUUUACAAUAUCCAUUGCUUUUCCCAUAUGGAGAAUCUUGUUGGCAUGAAGGCAUUAAGAGAUGCAACAACAAAUAUUUACAGUCUCAACAUCUGUCUAACUUAGAUGGUUUUCCUAGCACAGUAACUUCCGCAUCUGAAAUUAUUGAAAAAGAUGAUGAAGAUUUAUGUAUAUUUUUUUCUUUAUAGUUCUACUUUCUACAAUGUAAAUUAAUAAAUGAAUAUAUAAUUUUGACAUUUUCCAUCAUGCAGUGCUUAAUGGAACGAAGAAACGAUUUCAGGUCUCUUGCCGGGAAUACUAUUCAUACAAAUUUCAGAUUAGGCCAUUUGGUAAGUCUUUAUUGCUUCACAGUGGUAAAUUAUUUCAACAGUUUGUUGUAAAUAUGUAUGUUAAGAUUGAAACUGCUAGAUUAGACUAUUUUCAUAAUAACCAAAAAUAAAUUCGUACUGAACUAUAUCAAGGUAUUGUAUAGAUAGUGUUAAAAAUGGAGAAAUGAGAGGAUACAAAAUUGGAAGAAAAAUUAUUUUACCACAAUCCUUUACAUGUGGGCCUAAAGACUUGCUAAAAAGAUACAUGGAUACGAUGUCUAUUGUGCAGCGUUAUGAAAAAUCAGACAUCUUUUUUACUAUGAUAUGUAAUUCAAAUUGGCUGAAGAUUAAGCAAGAACUAAAGCAUAAUGAUGAAGUUCAAAAUCGAUCAGAUCUAAUUGCAUGCAUAUUUCAAGCAAAAUUAGAAGAGUUAAAAAAUGAUUUAUACAAGAAAAAUAUCUUAGGCCUUGUUGUUGCACAUGUAUAUAUGAUUGAAUUUAAAAAAACGAGGUCUUCUUCAUGCGCAUCUAUUAUUGAUUUUCAAAUCUGGCCAUAAAAUUUGUUGUGCUAAACAGGUCGAUGCGAUAGAAUGUUCUGAAAUUUCUAAAAAAUAUAUAUACCCCCAUCUUCCUUCUAUUAUUGUUAAACAUGAUAUGCAUGGUCCUUGUGAAAAUCUUAAUCCUAAAAAUGUAUGCAUGGAGGUAAAUAAAGGUUGCAAAAACAAAUGCCCUAAAGAACAUUGUAACAUGACUACAUUUGGUGAUAACUCAUAUCCGUUGUAUAAGCGUAUAAGCAUAGCAAUAAUGGCAUCUCUGUUAAAGUUAGAGGUCAAAUGUUAGACAAUUACUAGAUUGUACCAUAUAAUCUUUAUUUAAGUACGGAAUUUGACUGUUACAUUAAUGUUGAAAUAUGCUCUUCUAUUAAGGCUGUAAAAUAUUUGUACAAAUAUGUAAACAAAGGACCUGAUCGUAUUAAUUUCACAAUUAACACAAAUGAAGCAGAGAAAGAAAUUGAUAAAAUUUCUGCUUAUCAUUUUGUGGAUAUCUUCACUUGAAGCUAUGCAGAGAAUUUUUUUUAUUUUGUCAGAAACUUGUCCUACUGUUUAUUCUUUAUAGUUUCAUAUUGAGAAUCACCAAGAAGUGACAUACAAUAGUUAUGAUAAUUUAUCUACCAUCAUUGAGAACAAAAAUACAAAGAGAACAAUGUUGACAGAAUUCUUUCGAAUGAAUCAAAAAAAUAAAUUUGCUCGAACAUUGUUGUAUCGAGAUUUUCCUACACAUUUUGUUUGGAAUACUAAUAAAAAAAAUUUAACUCCGGGAAGAAGCAAAUUGUUAUAGGACGAAUUAUCACAACAAAUCCUUUUGAAGGAGACGCUAUUUCCUCCGCAUUCUUCUUAAUCAAAUUCGAGGGCUAACAUCAUUUAUUGAUUUACAAACUUCAAAUGGGGUAACUAUUAUAGAGAGACUGCGCUUCUACAUGGUUUAUUAAGCGGGGAUAAUCAUUGUGAAGAAUGUUUAUCUGAAGCUAUUGUUUACGAAAUUCCAACUUCUUUAAGAUGCCUAUUUGCUACACUACUUACGCUUUGCAACCUUAAUCAUCCAAAAUUAUUGUGGGAUAAAUUUAACGCUUAUAUGAUAGAUGACUAUCUACAUGAAAAUAUACUUAUAGAAAUUGUAAAGUACAUGCUCUAUAGGAUAUUGGUGAUCUUCUAGAAUCAUUAGGUAAAAACAUAAAUGAUUAUGGAAUAGUUCCAUUCAGUGUAAAUAUGGGUGAGGAUCAAAAGUUGAGAAGAAUGGUUAUAGAGGAGACGACCAAUUUGGAUAUCAAAGGAGACUAUACUUGUGCAUCUAGUUUAAAUAAAGAACAAUAGUUUGCAUAUGAUUCGAUUAUGGAAAAAGUUAAAUCAGAAUCAAAUGGUGAUUUCUUUAUUAAUGGUCCAGACGUAACAGGUAAAACUUUUUUAUAUAAAGCAUUUCUUGCUGCUGUGAGGUCUCAAAAUUUGAUUGCUUUAACGACUACAUCUUCUGGAGUAUCUGUAUCUCUAUUACCUGGUGGUCGAGCAUCUCAUUCUAAAUUUAAAAUUCCUUUAGAUACAUAUGGUGAAGUAAGUUGCUCCGUUAGCAAGCAAUCAGCUUUGGGAACUUUACUCAGAAUGUGUAAGUUAAUAACAUGGGAUUAAGCACCCAUGGUAAAUUGUUCUUCUGUUGAAACUGUGGAUAAAAUGUUCAGAGAUAUUACCGAUUGCAAUUUGCCUUUUGGUGAGAAAGUGGUUGUUCUCUGAGGAGAUUUUCGACAAAUUUUACCAGUUGUGCCAAGAGGAAAAAAAGGAAGAUAUAAUGAAAGCUAGCUUAGUCUUCUCUAACCUUUGGCCUUUGUUUAUACAUCUACCAUUAAUUGAGAACAUGAGGGCUAAGCUAGAUCCCACAUUUUGUGAUUAUUUACUUAGAAUUGGAGAUGGAACAAAAAAAGAACAUACUUGAAACUACAUUAAGCUUCCAGAAAGUAUCACUCUACCAUUUGAGGACAAAAUUCAGUCUAUAAAAAUAUUGAUAAAUCAUGUGUUUCCCAAAUAUUGAAGCAUAUGCUGAUAAUUUACAUAUGAUGGGAAAUUGAGUUAUUCUUACACCUACAAAUGAAUGUGUCGAUCAUACUAACAGAAUUUUACUCGAACAAAUUUCAAGUCAAAUUUCACAUAUUUUAGCUUCAAUGAAACGAUUGAGAAAUCAAAAAGGAGCUUGUAGGAAGAUUUUUUUUUUUUUUGAAUAGUUUAACCACAAACAGUAUUCCACCUCAUGAAUUGAAUCUUAAAGUAAAUUGUCCUAUAAUGUUAUUGAGAAAUAUUAAUCCUUUUGAAGACUUAUGCAAUGGGACACACCUUACUUGUUGAAAAUUUGAGAAGAAUAUAAUUCUUGCUGAAAUCACAACUGGUGAAUAUUGUGAAAAAUAUGUUUUCUUAUUGAGGAUUCCUUUUAUACCUCUUAAGAUAGAUCAAAAUUCAAUUCCAUUUAAAAGAUUUUAAUUUCCAAUUAAAUUAUGCUUCGCAAUGACAAUAAACAAAUCACAGGGCCAAACAUUUGAUUUUGUUGAUUUGUAUCUUCUAGAACCUUUUUUUGCCAUGGUCAACUUUAUGCAGCAUUAUCAAGAACUAGAACAAGUACGAAUAUAAAAGUUUUGGUGAAACCAUCAACAACUGAAAACUUACACAGUACAUGUACUAAGAAUGUUGUCUACAAGAAAAUCCUUUCUUUCAUACAUCCAUAGAGCUACAACUUGGCUUCCUUGUCCGUUAUUGAAAAACUUUAUAAAUUUAUGCAAUCAAAGUCAUCGAUGAAGCUAUCAAAUUUGCAUGGAAUAACUUACAAACAAUUAGAAAAAAAGAUGAAAGUGUUAUCAGAGAAGCUCGUGAGGUCAGUGAAUUAUUGUUUUACAAAAUAGCUUUCUUUUAAUCUAAUGUUUUAUAUAUCAUUUUAUCUCACUUUUCCGCAGUACAUAAUUCUAAUGUUCACAUAUUUUUUUUACACAAGUAGUUCGAAAUCUUUUCACUUCAUAUCUUGUUCAAAAAGUAUAGUUCUCAAACAUACUAUAGUUCUUACGAGUUUACUCCUUAGAGAAGAAAUUCUUUUUCAAAUCUUAUAGUUAUUGACAUUUCGUAUAGUACGUAUAGUAACAAAAUAAUUGUUUAUACUUUAAUCCUUAAAUAUUCUUUUUCUUUUAUUAUUAUUAUUAUUAUUAUUAUUAUUAUUAUUAUUAUUAUUAUUAUUAUUAUUAUUAUUAUUUUGCAAGUUUAUUUUCCUAUUCAUAAUUAGCUUAUUCAUUUUCCAAAUUCUAAUUAUUCAUCUUCGCAAUUAGUUUUUGAAUUUAACAAACAAUAUUUCACUAGCACUUCAAUGGCAUCUCUGUUGAUGAAAUUUUUGCAUGUCGGAUGACACAUAUUCUUACUUGUGUUCAUUUCCAGAAAGCAGAUCUUAUUCAAAUGUGUUUCACAAUUUUUUUAUCAAACCUUUUAAAUAAUUAUAAUAUUAUUCUCUCAUGCCUUCAAUUCUGUCAAACCAUUCUAAUUUCAUUCAUCAUAAUACUAUGACUCGAAAUUCUAAAUGUCUUUUCUUUCAUGAUUUAUAGUUUUUUCAAGCGUAAUUCUUCAACGAUCAAUGGUCAAUUCAUCACCUGGAGAAAGAGAGUUGAAGAUAGUUGGUCGAACAUUGAUAUGAAUAGUUUCAAGGUACAAUCUACCAUAUUAAGUAAUAUCAAAAGAAUAUGAUGCGAAUUUCCGCCUCCACCAAACAAAAGAAUAUUAUAAAUAUUCCUUCAAGUUUUAUUACUAAUUCCAUUUCUUUUACUUUAUUAUCCCUGUAAACUAGCGUACACACAUUUUACUCUUCUUUUACCUCUUUUUUCCUGUUUCUUAAUAGUCUUUUCUCGUCUCUUUUUCCUUCUAGUGAAAAGAUUUUAAAAAUCCUUUAAUCCAACUGAGAUUUAACUUACCAUAUUUGACCAAUUCAUUUCCAAUUUAUUUUUAUCAUAGAUGGCCCCGAUUAUUGCAAAUAUGGGUGGAACAAGUAUUCCUCUCCGUCUGGACAAUCAUCCACAUUUUCAGUGAGCUUCUAUUUGUUGUUAGUAAUAUUAUAAUCUCUGAAGUAAUUAUAAAUUUAUGAGUUGUUUUGCCCUUUGAUCAAUACUAAAAUCUUCAAUUUUUAAUUCAUUUUUAAGUCCUUUCAAAAUACAGGAAUUUGUAAAAUUUGUCUCUGAUGACUUCUAUAAUUGGACAUUUCUUUUUAACAAUAUGCAUCAAUUUUAUCUAAGAGGCAAUCCUGAAUUGGGGAUAAAGUUUUGAAAAUGUUGUUGAGAAAGUUUGAUUUCCAAUCAUGUGAAAUAAUUUUUUUAAUUUACUCAGGUAAGACCUCCAAGUAUUCUCAUGUGAUGUAGUGGAUAGGAGAUGUAGUUUUGUUAGAGAUCUUUGUCUUCCUUAGUUCCUUGUGAG
rnacentral:lncRNA from 1 species